rnacentral:rRNA from 1 species
UACGUAGGGUGCGAGCGUUAAUCGGAAUUACUGGGCGUAAAGCGUGCGCAGGCGGCGCGUUAAGACAGGUGUGAAAGCCCCGAGCUUAACUUGGGAAUUGCGCUUGUGACUGGCGUGCUGGAGUGUGGCAGAGGGAGGUGGAAUUCCACGAGUAGCAGUGAAAUGCGUAGAGAUGUGGAGGAACACCGAUGGCGAAGACAGCCUCCUGGGCCAGCACUGACGCUCAUGCACGAAAGCGUGGGGAGCAAACAGG